rnacentral:rRNA from 1 species
AAAUUGAAGAGUUUGAUCAUGGCUCAGAUUGAACGCUGGCGGCAGGCCUAACACAUGCAAGUCGAACGGUAACAGGAAGCAGCUUGCUGCUUUGCUGACGAGUGGCGGACGGGUGAGUAAUGUCUGGGAAACUGCCUGAUGGAGGGGGAUAACUACUGGAAACGGUGGCUAAUACCGCAUAACGUCGCAAGACCAAAGAGGGGGACCUUCGGGCCUCUUGCCAUCAGAUGUGCCCAGAUGGGAUUAGCUAGUUGGUGAGGUAACGGCUCACCAAGGCGACGAUCCCUAGCUGGUCUGAGAGGAUGACCAGCCACACUGGAACUGAGACACGGUCCAGACUCCUACGGGAGGCAGCAGUGGGGAAUAUUGCACAAUGGGCGCAAGCCUGAUGCAGCCAUGCCGCGUGUAUGAAGAAGGCCUUAGGGUUGUAAAGUACUUUCAGCGGGGAGGA